CACGUAGGGUGCGAGCGUUGUCCGGAAUUAUUGGGCGUAAAGAGCUCGUAGGCGGUGUGUCGCGUCGACCGUGAAAACCUGCAGCUUAACUGUGGGCGUGCGGUCGAUACGGGCAUCACUGGAGUUCGGCAGGGGAGACUGGAAUUCCUGGUGUAGCGGUGAAAUGCGCAGAUAUCAGGAGGAACACCGGUGGCGAAGGCGGGUCUCUGGGCAGUAACUGACGCUGAGGAGCGAAAGCGUGGGGAGCGAACAGG
rnacentral:rRNA from 1 species